rnacentral:rRNA from 1 species
UACGUAGGGUGCAAGCGUUGUCCGGAAUUAUUGGGCGUAAAGAGCUCGUAGGCGGUCUGUCGCGUCUGCUGUGAAAACUCGGGGCUUAACCCCGGGCCUGCAGUGGGUACGGGCAGACUAGAGUGCGGUAGGGGAGACUGGAAUUCCUGGUGUAGCGGUGAAAUGCGCAGAUAUCGGGAGGAACACCGGUGGCGAAGGCGGUUCUCUGGGCCUUACCUGACGCUGAGGAGCGAAAGCGUGAGGAGCGAACAGG